rnacentral:rRNA from 1 species
AGGAUGAACGCUGGCGGUGUGCCUAAUACAUGCAAGUCGAGCGGUAAGGCCCCUUCGGGGGUACACGAGCGGCGGACGGCUGAGUAACACGUAGGAACAUACCCCAAAGUGAGGGAUAAGCACCAGAAAUGGUGUCUAAUACCGCAUGUGCUCUAAGGAGUAAAGCUUCGGCGCUUUGGGAAUGGCCUGCGCAUGAUUAGCUUGUUGGUGAGGUAAUAGCUCACCAAGGCGACGAUCAUUAGCUGGUCUGAGAGGAUGAUCAGCCAGACUGGGACUGAGACACGGCCCAGACUCCUACGGGAGGCAGCAGUAGGGAAUUUUCCACAAUGGGCGAAAGCCUGAUGGAGCAACACCGCGUGCAGGAUGAAGGCCUUAGGGUUGUAAACUGCUUUUAUAUGUGACGAUUAUGACGGUAGCAUAUGAAUAAGGAUCGGACUAACUCCGUGCCAGCAGCCGC